CGAAAGCGUGACGCAGCAACGCCGCGUGGGGGAAGACGGCCUUAGGGUGUAAACCCCUUUCAGUUGGGACGAAGGCCGGCACGUUAAUAGCGUGUCCGGUUGACGGUACCUUCACAAGAAGCCCCGGCUAACUACGUGCCAGCAGCCGCGGUAAUACGUAGGGGGCAAGCGUUGUCCGGAAUCAUUGGGCGUAAAGAGCGCGUAGGCGGUCCGGUAAGUCAGCUGUGAAAGUCAAGGGCUCAACCCUUGAAUGCCGGUUGAUACUGUCGGGCUAGAGUCCGGAAGAGGCGAGUGGAAUUCCCGGUGUAGCGGUGAAAUGCGCAGAUAUCGGGAGGAACACCAAUGGCGAAGGCAGCUCGCUGGGACGGUACUGACGCUGAGGCGCGAAAGCGUGGGGAGCAAACAGGAUUAGAUACCCUGGUAGUCCACGCCGUAAACGAUGGGCACUAGGUGGUUGGGGGUGUCGACCUCCCCCGGCGCCGUAGCUAACGCAUUAAGUCGCCCCGCCUGGAGAGUACGGCCGCAAGGACUA
rnacentral:rRNA from 1 species